rnacentral:lncRNA from 1 species
UAAUAGACUUAAAUUCAGUUAUCGCCGGGGCCACUCACGGAUUGUGUUUCAGGUUUUAGAUUUACCCGACAUGAGUGACGUUAUAUUCUGUGACGUCAUUUAUUCCUUUUUAGAAUUUCAUCGCAGCAAGCAAGAUGUUUAAAUUUUGUAAGCGGUAAACUUGAAAAUUGAAAUGGUAAAGUAAACCAUGUAAGAAUUUGUAUGGUUAUAACCUGACUUAUGCUUCUAAUGUGAUUAAAAGUAAUCUUAGAAAGAAUUCGUUUUAUCGAUCGUCAAUUUUUUAACCAUAUGGCAUCGCCACGUGGAGAGCACAUGGAAAGACUGAAUGACAAAUUCAUUGGUCUCAUGAAUGGAUUACUCGUUUUCAUUUUUUAAUUAUUUAAUUUUUACAAGUGUGAGUAAUUAGAUGCAACAUUGUCCUAAGAUUUGCAGAUUAUAAUAAUGUUUACCAGGCGUCAUUGUAUAUUUCUACAUAAAAUUAGAUGCACGACGUCGAGUGUUUUUAUUUUAAAUUUUUUUUUAUAUAUUACUUUGAUCUCAUAUCUUAUACUAUUGAAAUUGAGUAUUGACAGAUCGUCAAGUGCCUAUGGGUAAGCCUAACAAAUGGUAUUUUGCGCUGUAACAGAUCAGGCAGGUUAGUAACGUGUCUUUAAUGAUUAUGUGUUGUGGGGCAGGUGUUAUCUAAUGAACUCCCGAAACUUCCGAAUUAAAAGUAAAUUUUCUUUAAGAGGGUAUACAUCGGUAAUUGUGUAUCUAGAUCUUUCAUAGCACAUAUACAGAAAAUAUUCCAUGAAAGGAUAUGAACGUAAAAGGGACGUACUCUUUGGGGCGAAGGACCCAGGUUCAUAACCGGAAGUUCAACUUUCGAUACAAAUAAACAAAAAUCUUGGAAAUCUUGAACAGAGACCAUACCCGGAGUUAAGAAGCAGUAGCCAAAAGAAAUCAUUGCUAAAUGUUAGCUUGCUGGUGGAUUUAAGCAAAUAUUAUCAUCUGUAUAUAUCCGGCUAUACAUUUUGCGUGUACCUACACAUUUGUGUACUAAAAAUUGUCAAGAGUCAUUCAUCAGUGAAGAUGUCAAUGUAUACAUUUAUAUAGUUACUACUACUCUCUAGACUAGACUAGGUCGAUAUGGUAUGAAUAGUUCAGUUAGAUCAAGAAUUUAGCCAACAAAUAUGUCAACAGGCCACAGCUUGAAUUAUUGUUGUAAUAACGAAUCCGUAAUAACUCAAUUAUAUACUAAUAUUACACUAUGUUACUAUCAACUGACUAUGGAUUUUAGUUUAUAUAAAUCUGUAUAUAUACUAAUUUUGAAUUAUUUUUAAAUUAUUGUAACUAUUAUCGACACAACUACAUGUAUGAGUAUACAUAAUUUUUAAUUGUUAUUGUUUCUUUGUACAGUUAUUUGGUUUUGUUAUGUCAAUGCUACAUGUAUGUACAUUGUAGCAUGGGGAAACUAAUAUUUACUUUUUGUUGAGUUGUAGCACAUGUUGGGUAAAUCAAGUAGAGACCUUGCUCGGCCACAGAACACGGCCAAGGAUUGUAACAGUUGGACCAGAGACUUGGACAACAAGGCCACACCAGUUUUUACAAAUGGGUUACCAGACUGGACUGGAUUCACGACUCAUCACGCCACUAACUCAACUCCUUUGGUCACAUACAUUUGUACAUUGGAUCAUCAUCGAUGUUAUUUAUGCUAACCCCUAGAGCUUCGCAUUGGUAUGAUUCCAGUUGAAAAAUUUUCAGGUAAUCGUCAGAUUUUUUAGUUAAAAGCAGUAUAUUACUUUUAAGUUAAACCAACUCAUGUACAAAAUGUACAUGUGUUUCCAACAUAUAACAAACUUAUUUAUAUAGAUUAAGACAACUUUUUCUAAUCUUAUGGGUAUGGAUUGAAAAGAUUUGUGUAACGUUUAGAUCUCAGUUUCUAAACUUAAAAUUGCUGAAUGUGCCCAGUGAAUGUGUUACGUUUACAAAUUUUUAUGGCCAUACAAUGAUGGGAUGCCACAUCAUGUGUUUUAAAUAAAAAACUUUUGGAAAUAUGAGGUUACAUUCUAUAUAAUUGUUAUAUAAUAUAUUACAUUGAAACUUUUAAAUGUUGUUUGGUAUUUAUCACUUUUUGAAUGGAGGACGCUAUCGAUUUAUAUAACAUUAUAAUAUUAAUAUUUAUCUUGUUUAAUAACCUGAUAAAUAAAAAAGAUUUUUUUUGUAAUGUUAAAUUCUCUUUUAUUAUAAGUAAUUGGAUAACUAUAUUUGGUAUGUGCGUACCUUGCAGGUCCUCAUGUCUGUCAGACAGUUUUCACUUGACCUCGACCUCAUUUCAUGGAUCAGUGAACAAGGUUAAGUUUUGGUGGUCAAGUCCAUAUCUCAGAUACUAUAAGCAAUAGAUCUAGUAUAUUCAGUGUAUGGAAGGACUGUAAGGUGUACAUGUCCAACUGGCAGGUCUCAUCUGACCUUGACCUCAUUUUCUUGGUUCAGUGGUUAUAGUUAAGUUUUUGUGUUUUGGUCUGUUUUUCUUAUACUAUAUGCAAUAAGUCAACUAUAAUUGGUGUAUGGAAUGAUUGUAAGGUGUACAUGUCUAGCUGAUAGGUGUCAUCUGACCUUGACCUCAUUUUCAUGGUUCAAUGGUUAUAGUUAAAGUUUUUGUGUUUUGGUCUGUUUUUCUUAUACUAUAUGCAAUAAGUCUACUAUAAUUGGUUAUGGAAUGAUUGUAAGGUGUACAUGUCUAGCUGACAGGUGUCAUCUGACCUUGACCUCAUUUUCAUGGUUCAAUGGUUAUAGUUAAGUUUUUGUGUUUUGGUCUGUUUUUCUUAUACUAUAUGCAAUAUGUCUACUAUAAUUGGUGUAUGGAAUGAUUGUAAGGUGUACAUGUCUAGCUGACAGGUGUCAUCUGACCUUGACCUUAUUUUUUAUGGUUCAGUGGUCAAAGUUAAGUUUUUUAGUUUUGGUCUUAUUUUUCUAAUACCUUGUGAAUUAGGUCAACUAUAUUUGGUGUAGGGACAUAUUUUAUGAUCCUCGUGUCGUUUACGCUGGUUUUAUUUGACUUUGACCUCAUUUUCACGGUCAAUUGCUAAUUUUUAAGUGUUUGUGUGUUUUGGUCUGUUUUUCUUUAUUUAUAAGCAAUAAGUCAACUAUAUUGGUUGUAUUGAAGAAUUGUUAGCUGUACAUGCAUGUCUGCCUGGCAUAGUUCAUCUGACCUUGACCUCAUUUUCAUGGUUGAUUGAUCAAUGUUUCCUUUUCUUGGUUAAUGUUGAGUUUAUGUGACAGUUGUAAUAAAGCUUUAUAUUUAGGUCUAUCAAGAUAGUAUAGUUUCAAGGAUUAGUAAAGAAGGCAAGACAUUUCAGUGUGUGCACUCUUGUUUUUAUAUAUAUACAUAUAUAUUAAGGGAAAAAAGGGGUCCAAUGGAUUUUAUCUUGUAAUCAACUUUUAAUCUUGACAAGUUUUUUUUUUUUUUUUACUUUUUAAAUUGUCAGUCGCAGUUAAAUAUAUAAACAUGUAUGUACAUGUUAUAUUAGCAAAUCUAGAACAAACUAAGUAAUUAUUUACAGCUUGUCUUGCAGUCUGCUCCACUGCUAAAAAUCUUUAGUAUUUAGGUGUCAACAGCUUAAUUUAUAUAUAUACUAGUAUAGAAUGUAUUGUAAUCUUCAUCCUGGGGGAUUCUAGAAGUUGCCCAAUUUAUGAGUAUCGUACGCUGUAUGUUUAGGUGCUGUUUGUUAUUUUAGGCUAGUGCUUUAUGAGGAACUUUUCUUUGCAUAAAUGAUUGGCCCUACUGGUUGCUGGGCAACAGUUGAUUCCAAAUUAUGGUUGUUAUUUAUUAUGGAAAUUAUAGUACAGGUUAAAACUCAGUAACUUUAGCAUGAACGCUGGGACGAUUUGAUUUGUUAUGCUUUUAAUAAUGAGGGUAUCUAGAUGUUGUUAAGCACUUGUUUGUGUUUAGUAAGUAUGUUUUUGUAGCAGACUGAUAUCCUCCAGAUGGGGUUGACUUAGGUCUAGGCAUGGAAAUGAAUUUUUGUGGUGGCAUAUUUGUCGCAUGUUAAACGUUAACUCAGAAUAUACAUGUAUAAUGAAACUGUAAGGAUCCAACAUAAUUUUAAUAAACUUGUAGUGGUAUUGACACAGGUAGUUCUAGAGUGGGUCUUUGCCAAUGAGAUGAAGAACAUGAUCAGAUGGAGUGUGAAAUUCAUCUUUCUUAAGUAAGGAUGGUCUCAAUUUAGACCAAUGCAAACUGGACUGGUGCUGCUAUAGAAUUUACAACUAUUUAUUGCCUUUAUAAUAAGCUGUCGGGUUGCUACAUAAAAUAUUAUGAUU